AGAUCCUGAAAAAUUGCUUCGUUGAUGAGUUGUGCUCCUGUCUGGAUAAGACCUACUCAAAAAAAGGUCCUGGCUGGGAUAGCCUUUGUCAACUCCCUACGUAUUGAAGUGUUAUAGCUGGACUGCGGAGCUUUCAUGCGAUGGAGGCAGAAUUUCUUACUACUACUACUCCCCUUCUCUAAAAGUUCCUUACACAACUUGACCAACGCACUGAGCAGCUCAUGAAAGUGUUGAACAAAGGAGGCUCUGCAGGGAGGAAAAUCAGGAUCAUUAUGGCCCCAAUUACACGGGAAGCCGAGGGAGCUUGAGAAGUCACCUUUGGUAUCUACAGCAUCGAUGUUAAGGGAGGUGAUACCGCCACUCCUCCAGCCGAUGUUGGAAUUGUGAUUCAGGGUGUUGAAGUUCUGCACGACUUGAGAGACUUUGCCUCUGCAU